rnacentral:sRNA from 1 species
CUUCUUCGAUCUGCUGCGGGCAGAUGAAGUGGAUGUGGCUGUCCAUCCCGCCGGCCGUCACGAUCUUGCUUCGCCCGCGAUCGCCUCGGUGCCUGGUCCGACGAUGAUAUUGACGCCCGGCUGCGUGUCCGGGUUGCCGGCCUUGCCGAUCGCGACGAUCCGUCCGUCCUUGAGGCCGAUAUCGGCCUUCACGAUGCCGGUAUGAUCGACGAUCACCGCAUUGGUGAUGACGGUAUCGACCGCACCGUUGGCGCGCGUCACCUGGCUCUGCCCCAUGCCGUCGCGGAU